AGUGCCAUCGCGCGGAGAGGAGGGGGUGCGCUUCCGCGGGCGGGGCGCGGAGCCCGCCGUCUCGGAGGCCGCGGCUCGGCCCGGCACUGCGGAGGGCCGCUUGAUUUCCCGGAACCCAGGUCGCGCGGCUGCUAGGGCCGGAGCCGGUGGAUCCGAGCGGGUGCCACCAGCGGCGGCGCGCCGCCUCCCCCGGUGGGAGCGGUGGUUGGGCCAGGCUGCGGCAGAGCGUUCGCUCGGAGAUGGCGGAGCAGCCGCGACGCGGCCCGUGGCCCCGAAAGCAGGGAAGCCGGGCAGCCCCGGGACGCGGCGGAGCCCGGGGACAGCGGGGACGCCGCCCAGUCCUCCGGGUAUGAAGCUAAAAUGCAGCGGCUAAGAACGCGGCUCUGGAGCUUGACAGGCCUGACGUCGAAUCCCAGCCCUCCCACCAACUGAGCUGUGUGAUCCUGGGCAAGGUAGAGGGGAAGAGAUUGAACUUUGCUGACCUUUGAUGUGAGGCGCUCAGCCAGGGCCAAGGGGAGAGCCUGGCAAGAUUUGCAGCCUGAAGCCAUGGGCCAGGGGGCCAUGGUGACCUGAGACAAGUGGACUCUGUAUAGUUGCCCCCUGCUUCCCCUUCUACCUCCCCUACCCUAUGCUAAGGGGACUCGUCUCCACCUCGUAAAGGAAACUCCCCAAGGGAAUCCCUGUCCCCUAUUUUCCUAUCCUUCUACCCUUCCAAGACAGUCCUAGCCUAUAGAACUCCUACCUCCCAUCCCCUGAGGUGGUCCCCAUUCCUCCCUCCCUUCCUCCCCCCGCCAUGCUCCAGUUGUGGAAGGUGGUACGCCCAGCUCGGCAGCUGGAACUGCACCGCCUCAUACUGCUGCUGAUCGCUUUCAGCCUGGGCUCCAUGGGCUUCCUGGCUUAUUAUGUGUCCACCAGCCCUAAGGCCAAGGAACCCUUGCCCCUGCCCUUGGGAGACUGCAGCAGCGGUGGGGCAGCUGGUCCUGGCCCUGCACGGCCUCCAGUUCCACCUCGGCCCCCCAGGCCUCCAGAGACAGCUCGAACUGAACCCGUGGUCCUUGUGUUUGUGGAGAGUGCAUACUCACAGCUGGGGCAGGAAAUUGUGGCCAUCCUGGAGUCUAGUCGUUUUCGUUAUAGCACUGAGUUGGCACCUGGCCGAGGGGACAUGCCCACAUUGACUGAUAAUACCCAUGGCCGCUAUGUCUUGGUCAUUUAUGAGAACCUGCUCAAGUAUGUCAACCUGGAUGCCUGGAGUCGGGAACUGCUAGACCGGUACUGCGUGGAGUAUGGUGUGGGCAUCAUUGGCUUUUUCCGAGCCCACGAGCACAGCCUACUGAGCGCCCAGCUCAAGGGCUUUCCCCUUUUUUUACACUCAAACUUGGGGCUCCGGGACUACCAAGUGAAUCCUUCUGCCCCGCUACUGCAUCUCACACGCCCCAGCCGCCUAGAACCAGGGCCACUGCCUGGUGAUGACUGGACCAUCUUCCAAUCCAAUCAUAGUACAUAUGAACCAGUGCUUCUUGCCAGCCUUCGGCCAGCUGAGCCCGCAGUGCCAGGACCAGUUCUUCGUCGGGCCCGGCUUCCCACUGUGGUACAGGACCUGGGGCUUCAUGAUGGCAUCCAGCGGGUGCUCUUUGGACAUGGCCUUUCCUUCUGGCUCCACAAACUUAUCUUCGUUGAUGCUGUUGCAUACCUCACUGGCAAGCGCCUCUGCCUGGACCUUGACCGCUACAUCUUGGUAGACAUCGAUGACAUCUUUGUGGGCAAGGAAGGGACCCGCAUGAAGGUGGCUGAUGUUGAGGCUCUGUUGACCACCCAGAACAAACUCAGGACCUUAGUUCCCAACUUCACCUUCAACUUGGGCUUCUCGGGCAAGUUCUAUCAUACUGGGACAGAGGAGGAGGAUGCAGGGGACGACAUGCUGCUGAAGCACCGCAAAGAGUUCUGGUGGUUCCCCCACAUGUGGAGCCACAUGCAGCCACACCUGUUCCACAAUCGCUCCGUGCUGGCUGACCAGAUGAGGCUCAACAAACAGUUUGCUCUGGAGCAUGGGAUUCCCACGGACCUGGGGUAUGCUGUGGCCCCCCACCACUCGGGUGUGUACCCCAUCCACACGCAGCUCUAUGAGGCCUGGAAAUCCGUGUGGGGCAUCCAGGUGACCAGCACUGAGGAGUAUCCCCAUCUCCGCCCUGCCCGCUACCGCCGUGGCUUCAUUCACAAUGGCAUUAUGGUGCUGCCCCGGCAGACAUGUGGCCUCUUCACUCACACAAUCUUCUAUAAUGAGUAUCCUGGAGGCUCUCGUGAACUAGACCGGAGCAUCCGAGGUGGAGAGCUCUUUCUGACAGUGCUGCUUAAUCCGAUCAGCAUCUUUAUGACCCAUCUGUCCAAUUAUGGAAAUGACCGGCUGGGCCUAUACACCUUUGAGAGCUUGGUGCGCUUCCUCCAGUGUUGGACACGGCUGCGCCUACAGACCCUUCCUCCUGUCCCACUUGCACAGAAGUACUUUGAACUUUUCCCUCAGGAGCGAAGCCCCCUUUGGCAGAAUCCCUGUGAUGACAAGAGGCACAAAGAUAUCUGGUCCAAGGAGAAAACCUGUGAUCGUCUCCCGAAGUUCCUCAUUGUGGGACCCCAGAAAACAGGGACUACAGCUAUUCACUUCUUCCUGAGCCUGCACCCAGCUGUAACUAGCAGCUUCCCUAGCCCCAGCACAUUUGAGGAGAUUCAGUUCUUCAACAGCCCUAAUUACCACAAGGGUAUUGACUGGUACAUGGAUUUCUUCCCUGUUCCUUCCAAUGCCAGCACUGAUUUCCUAUUUGAAAAAAGUGCCACCUACUUUGACUCUGAAGUUGUACCACGGCGGGGGGCUGCCCUCCUGCCACGAGCCAAGAUCAUCACAGUGCUCACCAACCCUGCUGACAGGGCCUACUCCUGGUACCAGCAUCAGCGAGCCCAUGGAGACCCAGUUGCUCUGAACUAUACCUUCUAUCAGGUGAUUUCAGCCUCCUCCCAGACCCCUCUGGCACUACGCUCCCUGCAGAACCGCUGUCUUGUCCCUGGCUACUAUUCUACCCAUCUACAACGCUGGCUGACUUACUACCCCUCUGGACAGUUGCUGAUUGUGGAUGGGCAAGAGCUGCGUACCAACCCAGCAGCCUCAAUGGAGAGCAUCCAGAAGUUCCUGGGUAUCACACCCUUUCUGAACUACACACGGACCCUCAGGUUUGAUGAUGAUAAGGGAUUUUGGUGCCAGGGACUUGAAGGUGGUAAGACUCGCUGUCUAGGCCGGAGCAAAGGCCGGAGGUAUCCAGAUAUGGACACUGAGGAAACGUGGGAAGAAUAAGUACGUGAGAGCCAGUUGGGAGAAACAAAGUUGUGCAGGCCAAGGGCAUAAAGCCCAAUCUCGAAGGCGCAAAGGUGCAGGUUGCGGUGAGGACCCUGGUGGCCCCCUGAGGAAGAUGGAUGUGUGAAAAUGGAAGUGCUGCUGUUGCCCCCUGCCUUGAUCAGCACUGUCUUCGCCAGCUCGAAGUAGAAGUGUGCAGCUGCCUCUGAUGGCUGAUUGGUCUUCGCCCGGGCUCCUCCACUGGCACUGGCCCGGCGACUUCCACUGGAGGAUGAGGAGCCCAGGGAGUCCGAAGAAGAGCUGCUAAUGCUGUCACUGUCCUGACCUCGACCCCAGGAGGUGGGGGCCCAGCCCCCUCGAAGUGGUCUCCGGCUUAAGGUGGGGGAACUAUCCGAUGUUGUUUCAGGGGCACUGCUGUCAAUGCUGGCCAUGCCUAACCCCCAAGAGAAGUCAGUCUCAGAAGUCAGGAGUCCCAGAUGUUAAGACUCCAACCUUCAGGAUUAUCCUUCCCUCUAUGCUAGCCCACAGGCUAUCCUACCUGUGUGCUUCUUCUUAGGCCGUCCUGGGGACCCCCAUCCCCGUCCAUUAUAGCCUCCACGACUGCCAAGUGCCAAGCGGCUAGGAACCUUCCCUUCUGGCCUUGGGGUCAAAGCUGCCUCAGAUGGAAGACCCUCACAGGGGGAAUGUGGGGAACUCUCUAGGUGAGGAAAACAGGACGCUGGGAUGAGCCCAGGAAAGGGGACCUCAACAUAGGUCCACACCAUUCAUCCCCCCUGCCCAGUGCCCCCACCUCACCAGGCACAUUCUUCUCUGUGAAGCCCUCAGUGGGGCCUGGCCCAGCCCCUGCCACACUCCCUGGUUGAGCAGGCCCUGCAGAGCCUGAGGUCAGUGGUUGCAGGGCCCCUGGGGCAGAUGGGCCCCCGUGCUUUGAAGGAGACCUCUGGCUGGCUGUGGUUGGGCGGCUAGAUGAGUAGAAAGAACUCAGCGUCUGUGGCUUAUGUGUCUGGCUCUCUCGGUCCAAGAGUUUGUCUAAGAUCUGGAAGACAGAAGCAGUGACCUCCAGAGAAGCAGUGACAGGAUGCCCUUUAGCUCCUGACUUCUAUUACCUUCCUUUCUCCUUGAAACAGCCAAUUGCUACAUCCUCAGGGAGCCUUCCCCACUUACAACCACAGGAUGACCUCCUGGUUUACAUGUCUUUUUGUAACUUAUUUAACCCCAACAUAUCUUGGUAUCCUCCAUUAACACCACAGGGCAGAAUAUACUGAUAGUCAAUAAAUACUGAAAUAAGUGAAUGAA
rnacentral:lncRNA from 1 species